rnacentral:misc_RNA from 1 species
GAUGAAGAACGUAGUGAAAUGCGAUAAGUAAUGUGAAUUGCAGAAUUCAGUGAAUCAUCGAAUCUUUGAACGCACAUUGCGCCCGCCAGUAUUCUGGCGGGCAUGCCUGUUCGAGCGUCAUUUCAACCAUCAAGCCUCAGGCUUGUGUUGGAGCCCUGCGGCUGCCGCAGCCUCCCAAAACCAGUGGCGGGCUCGCUAUCACACCGAGUGCAGUAGUUUACUCUUCGCUCAGGGCGUGUGGCGGGUGCUAGCCGUGAAACCCCCAACUUCUCAAGGUUGACCUCGGAUCAGGUAGGAAUACCCGCUGAACUUAAGCAUAUCAAUAAGCGGAGG